rnacentral:lncRNA from 1 species
GUGGGUGUCCGGCCAGUGUAUUGCAUGUACUUGCCUAUGUGGGUGUCCGACCAGGAUUUUCCCCCUCCACCUGCCCAAUUGUCUACACAGGUGGUUGAUCAAUUUUUCACAUUCCUCGGUUGCCCUCAUUGUAUUGCCUGUACCUACAUUGAGAUUACUUUAUAGGUGUCCGGCCAGUGAUUUGCCUGUACCUACAUUGAGAUCACUUUGUAGGUGUCCGGACAGGAUUUUCCCAAGCCACCUGCCCGAUUUGUCUACACAGGUGGUUGGCUAGUUUCUCCAUUCC